rnacentral:tRNA from 4 species
GGGACAUUAGCUCAGUUGGUUAGAGCUACCGGCUCAUAACCGGUUGGUCGUAGGUUCAAGUCCUACAUGUCCCACCA